rnacentral:lncRNA from 1 species
UAUAGAUAGCCCAUUCCACUUUUUUUGUGUCCUGUAUAUAAUACUAAGCUAAUAUUAUAAAAAGAAUAGGAGAUGAAAAAAUAUGACGAAAUGUGUUCUAAAAAUUUAGCUAUUUUUGCACAAUGUUUUUCAAACAAUGUCAUUUUUUUUAAUUUUUUUAUCUGAUAUUGUUAAUAGUAUCUGCAAGUUUGUUUUCUCAAUUCCUUAUUGCAUUAAAAUGUCUAAACAUCUGUUUUCUUUUAAAAGAUAAACCCUCUGAGUAAAUGACAAUUUUUUCGAAACUUUAAGCAACAGAUUUUUCUGCGUUAAAACAAUAUUUUCCUCAUGUUAUUCAUCAGAGGUAGUGUGUGGCACGAAACUCCAGGCUUGGAGAUUUAUAUAUUUGAAUAUCUUAUGCAACUUGUAUUACUGAAAGAUUUUAAUCUUAUUACUCUCUUUUUUUCAGACCUGCUCAAGAGAAGUAAAACAUAUCAAUGCAGUUUUUGUCAGUACUCACAUUUUGACAAAUCAAAAAUGACUAGACAUGUGAAAGUUCAUACUGGGGAAAAACCAUUUCAAUGUGCCAUGUGUCCGAAGUAUUUUGCGCAAAAGUGUGUCAUGAAAAGACAUAUGAUCACUCACUUUAAAAAGCUCUGACAUUAGAUCAUAAAUUUCUAUGUUCUUUAUCGAUAACUAUAGAAUUUAAUAAUGGAAUGCCUGCAAAUGACGUAGUAUUUUCAGAAGAGAAGAAAAAUAUAUCAAUGCAGUUCUUGUCCAUAUUCAAAUUGUAACAAAGCAAAAAUGGCUAGACACUUGAAAGUUCACACUGGCGAAAAACCAUUUCAGUGUGCCCAGUGUUUGAAGUGCUUUGCUCAAAAAUGUCAUUUAAAAUCGCACAUGUUGAUUCAUUUUAAGGAACCUUUGUAUCAAUCUGGCUAAACUAACAGUGCUAUUUGUAAAUAUUUAUUUAUGGGAUUUGUCAUUGUAUAAUCACAGUACCACCUCGAUCAUCCAAGUCUUAUUCAGAAUUAUUUGAUAUAUUUAGGAAGAAUCAUUAUACAUUAAAGAAUUGUUCAAAGCUGAACUGAAUUGUUAAAAAGGUUGGUAGUAACUUUCAUGGUGCAUAGCGUUUUUAAAAAGUGCUUAAAGGUGCUUAUUUUCGAUUUUCUUUUUUAAAAGCCCUUAAAAGUGCUUUUUUCAUUGGGUGUUUUUAAAAAGUGCUUAAUUUUUCGAAAAUGAGGUUUUUUGGCGAAAAUCGACAUGUAUUAUGUAAAAGCGUUCUUUCCACAUUGUUCUAUUGAACGUUUUCACAAUUCAUUCAACUGCAAUCUGUUUCGGUGUACCGUCGGUCCAGUAUGAAAGUGCCAAUCCUUUUACAUCUUUGAUGAAAUACUUGCGAGUCCGCAUGUGCGUCAACUGAACUGUUAUUUUAUUAUGAUCAUAUUAAGUCUUUGAAAAUUAUUUUGCUUUUUGUUAAUGUAUAUAGUGCUUAAAAAUAUUUUUUGAGUGUUAAAAAGGUGCUUAUUUUUUGUUGAAAGAUUUGGCUAUGCACCCUGACUUUGCUUGCGUUUUAAAAGUUAAGUAAUUUGGAGCGCAUGCCACUGGCUCUGUAUUACAGAUUUUGCCCAUUUCCUUGCAUAAUCCCUCUUUUUAUUUUUACUUGUGUUGUAUAAUUUCAUUAUUAUGACUUCCUCUUCGCAAAAAGAAAGCCUGUUAUAUUGUUAUUAAAAAAAGCAGGGUUUUUAUGAUGAAAAUUGUUUUUAAAAAAUUUUACUUCUAAAAUCAGAAUAUUUCGCUUAUCUGAUUGAAGUCUGGUCCCUUCGGUUUAUCGAGGUUCUACUGUAUUGAGAUGUUUUUUGUAUAAGAUAUCCAUUUUUAAUUUUGUAAAGUAAAAAAUAAAACUUUAAUUUUACUGAAAUGUUUCUUAUUUUGUUUAUUUUUUGUAUUGUUUUAUUCAAAAUUGACAUACAAUGCAAGCAUUUUAUUAGCUUAAAUGCAAAGAUUCUUAUUAAAAAAAAGUUUGAAUCCUUGUAAAAUUUAUUUCUUGACUUUCAUGAAUAUCUCGAAGAAAGGUGAGAGUUCAAUCAUUUAUAAAACAGUUGGUCUAAUGGUGAAAAAUAUUUUCUCAACUUGACCCUACUUCCGUAGUUCAUUUCCGGCCUUUGCAAUAGUCAUGUCAAUAGCCUUUCCAAUAGUCCAAUAAGAUAUUAGUACUUUGUUAUAUAUUGUAAAAGUAAUAUAUGAAGAAGAUAUUUAAAGUCUUGUUAUUUUUUCAACAUUAUUUUUUAUUACUGUAUACAUCUUAUUGUACUAAUACUAUUAUGAUAUUCAUGAAUUAUUACUGUUUUUAUUUAUUAAAUGGUAUUAAGAGAUUUAUUGCAUUUUUCAUAAUUUAAAGCAAUGAAUUUCCAUUUUCAUCAGAAGUGUUAAAUAUUUAUUUAAAUUUCAAAAUCAUACAGUUUAUCAUAAGAUUUUCACAAAGAUACUCUUUCUCUUGCAUAGGCACUCUUUCUCUGCACCAAGGAAGUAAAAUAUAUCGAUGCAAUUUUUGCCACUAUGUGCAUUUUAACAAGUCCAAAAUGGCCAGACACAUGAAAUUUCACACUGGCGAAAAACCCUUUCAGUGUUACACAUGCGGGAAGUGUUUUACUCAGAAGUGUGAUUUGAAGAGGCACAUGGUUACUCAUGUUAACAAGCACUGGUUGUAGACCCAUCUAAUGUUAAUAUUGUUACAAUAAUAUCUAUUCAAAGGAAGUAAAAUAUAUCAGUGCAGUUUUUGCAACUACUCGCACCUUAGCAAGUCGAGAGUAACCACGCACAUGAAAUUUCACACUGGGGAAAAACCAUUUCAAUGUGCCACUUGUCAGAAGCGUUUUACUCAAAAGUGUGAUCUAAAAAGACACAUGAUCAUUCAUUUUAGAAAACAUUGAUUAAAAUUGCGUGUCUAAAUUUAUACAUAACCUGUCCAGUUUCAGUGUCAUUUGUAGAUGUUAGUUUCGAGUGAUGUCUUUUGUGAAAAUUUAAAUGUUUUUUUGGAAAUUAUAUAAUUCUAUCCUUUUCCUAUGUUAUACAUAUUUAAAGAAAAUAAAUUACAAUAUGUACUCAAAUUUUUCUAUUUUGUUUAUCUUUUGUAAUAUUUAUUAUAAAUCUAUAUACUUAAGAAAACUCUCAUUGUGAAGUGGAAUUGCACAUCCUUGAAAAACAAAAUGCAGCACUGCCCUGAUUUGACAACACUCGCCUAAUAACAAAUUUCACUUUAUUGUUGUAGUCAUUUUACCAUUAGUCAUUACUAAGAAAUCAUUAACUUUUUAAAAAUUAUCUUGCAAUAUUAAGGUGCAAAAAUAUUUUUUAUCCUUUUUUUUAAUGUCUUGCAUGAAUUUUUUUUUAAUUUUAAAGCCUCUUUGCAUAACAGUAUUGUAUAUAGGUUUACUUUUUUUUAUUAAUCAGUGCUAGUUUUUAAAAUAUUUUCUGAUAUUUUUUCAACAAUAUCUUUAAUUUUAUGAUGAACUACUGACGUAUUGCCAAAUUUUUUUGUUGUGUUUGUAUAAAUUUUUUUUGUACUACUAUAUUCCAUACAGUAUUCGUUUAGCCCCAAAAAAAAAGUUAUGUUUCCUGUUUGUGAUUGUACUUAUUUGUACUAAUGAAAUGAAUGUAAAAUGAAAAUGAAAUGGUGGUUCUGUGAACAUUACUUUUAAAAAGAAAUUUUAGGAUCCUUGUAGAAAAUUAUACAUAUUAAGAUUACUGAUUAAUAUUUACGUUAAGAAAAGUGAAUUCAAAAUCUUAAGAGUUUUAUGAAAUUGAAAUCGUCAUAACUGGGUUGGUUGCUGAGUGAUACUUGUUGUUUCUAAUAAAUGCUUUUGACCUUUUCUCAGUUUCUUGUGACAAUCAAACAGGUUUCGUUAUUUCUUCGCUCACUUUCUCCCUCAAUAGCUGCUUGCAGUACAGGUUUUCUUAUUUUCUGGUUAAAUAUUAAUUUGUAAUCCCUAAUGUUUGUACUUUUUUAACAUAUAUUUUAAAAAGAUGUUGAUUUUAAAAUACCAUUUACAUCCAAGCUCUUUCUGAAACUUGAUAUUCAGAACAAAUUUUAAUUCAAAUUUGUCUGGAACCAACUGUGCAAGUUAGCUUUAAAAAAAGAUUUGAAUGUUUUUUUUAAAAAAAAAACUCUUUAGUUAUUAGGUAUUUAUAUGAUUUCUGUUUCUUUCAGAUAUGUUUAAAAGUACUCAACGAUUUCAAUGUAGUUUUUGCACUUACACAAGCCUUUACAAGUCUAAAAUGGCCAGUCAUUUUAAAGUUCACACUGGUGAAAAACCGUUUCAGUGCCAAGCUUGUCAAAAGUGUUUUUCUCAAAAGUCUGCUUUAAAAAGGCACAUGAUUAUUCACAUAAGAAACACUAGUUGUUAACACCUGUCUGAAUGGUCACUGUUAUGUAUAAGCAAGUACUUCUAGAUGUAUACUUUCUAAUAGAAGAAUAUAUUGUUAAUACAUUGUAAUUCAUCUAUUGUAAUUCCUUGAUGAACAUAAAAUUGUGUUUGAUAAAGAUA